AAAAAAAAAAAAAAAACUCUAAAAUAUGAGAGAAAAGCAAUGAAAAUUUGAUGGGGUACUCAGCAAGCGAUGUCUUUUUUUGAGAGGAACAAAAUUUGAUGUGAGAAGAAAGCAAGAAAGAGAAUAACGCCUCAAAAGAGAAAAGCAACCAACAAUUUCUCUCUCUCCUCUCUCUCUCUCUGUAACUUGAAAAUGCAAAACUAAAAUCAUCUCAUGAUAAGCCAACGUCGUCAUGAUCACAAAAUGCCCACGAA
rnacentral:misc_RNA from 1 species